rnacentral:rRNA from 1 species
UACGUAGGGGGCAAGCGUUGUCCGGAUUCAUUGGGCGUAAAGAGCGUGUAGGCGGCCAGGUAGGUCGGUUGUGAAAACUGGAGGCUCAACCUUCAGAGGUCGACCGAAACCAUCUGGCUAGAGUCCGGGAGAGGAGAGUGGAAUUCCUGGUGUAGCGGUGAAAUGCGCAGAUAUCAAGAGGAACACCUGAGGUGAAGACGGGUUGCUGGGCUGAUACUGACGCUGAGGCGCGAAAGCUAGGGUAGCAAACGGG